rfam:Picea glauca, whole genome shotgun sequence.
UGCCUAAAACAUAUUGUUAAUGCACCAGAUCCCAUUAUAACUCUGUAGUUAAGCAUGCUCGGGCUAGAGUAGUAUUGGGAUGGGUGACCUCCCUGGAAGUCCUCGUAUUUUACAUGC